rnacentral:rRNA from 1 species
UGCGGCCUAUCAGGUUGUAGUGGGUGUAACGUACCUACUAGCCGACGACGGGUACGGGUUGUGAGAGCAAGAGCCCGGAGAUGGAUUCUGAGACACGAAUCCAGGCCCUACGGGGUGCAGCAGGCGCGGAACCUUUACAAUGUGCGGAAGCAUGAUAAGGGGACUCCGAGUGCCAGCAUCUAAUGCUGGCUGUCCUUGUGCCCAAAAAGCACAAGAUAGCAAGGGCCGGGUAAGACCGGUGCCAGCCGCCGCGGUAACACCGGCGGCCCGAGUGGUAGCCGCUAUUAUUGGGUCUAAAGGGUCCGUAGCCGGUUCAGUAAGUCCUUUGGGAAAUCUGGUUGCUUAACAAUCAGACUGCCAAGGGAUACUGUUGAACUUGAGACCGGGAGAGGUAAGAGGUACUUCAGGGGUAGGAGUGAAAUCUUGUGAUCCCUGGGGGACCAUCUGUGGCGAAGGCGUCUUACCAGAACGGGUCUGACGGUGAGGGACGAAAGCUGGGGGCGCAAACCGGAUUAGAUACCCGGGUAGUCCCAGCCGUAAACGAUGCUCGCUAUGUGUCAGGUACGGUGCGACCGUAUCUGGUGCCGUAGGGAAGCCGUGAAGCGAGCCACCUGGGAAGUACGGUCGCAAGACUGAAACUUAAAGGAAUUGGCGGGGGAGCACUACAACGGGUGGAGCCUGCGGUUUAAUUGGAUUCAACGCC